rnacentral:rRNA from 1 species
CAGUCGAGCGAGCUUGCCUAGAUGAAUUUGGUGCUUGCACCAGAUGAAACUAGAUACAAGCGAGCGGCGGACGGGUGAGUAACACGUGGGUAACCUGCCCAAGAGACUGGGAUAACACCUGGAAACAGAUGCUAAUACCGGAUAACAACACUAGACGCAUGUCUAGAGUUUAAAAGAUGGUUCUGCUAUCACUCUUGGAUGGACCUGCGGUGCAUUAGCUAGUUGGUAAGGUAACGGCUUACCAAGGCAAUGAUGCAUAGCCGAGUUGAGAGACUGAUCGGCCACAUUGGGACUGAGACACGGCCCAAACUCCUACGGGAGGCAGCAGUAGGGAAUCUUCCACAAUGGACGCAAGUCUGAUGGAGCAACGCCGCGUGAGUGAAGAAGGGUUUCGGCUCGUAAAGCUCUGUUGGUAGUGAAGAAAGAUAGAGGUAGUAACUGGCCUUUAUUUGACGGUAAUUACUUAGAAAGUCACGGCUAACUACGUGCCAGCAGCCGCGGUAAUACGUAGGUGGCAAGCGUUGUCCGGAUUUAUUGGGCGUAAAGCGAGUGCAGGCGGUUCAAUAAGUCUGAUGUGAAAGCCUUCGGCUCAACCGGAGAAUUGCAUCAGAAACUGUUGAACUUGAGUGCAGAAGAGGAGAGUGGAACUCCAUGUGUAGCGGUGGAAUGCGUAGAUAUAUGGAAGAACACCAGUGGCGAAGGCGGCUCUCUGGUCUGCAACUGACGCUGAGGCUCGAAAGCAUGGGUAGCGAACAGGAUUAGAUACCCUGGUAGUCCAUGC